CAACCCAGCUACUCCUCUGUACUUGAGGCAAAUAAAAAAUUAGAAUCAUAUUGCUUUCUCUGGCCCAAUGGGACUCUGGCACUUUGAGAAAUGGUUUCACCAAAUUUUGAAGUGUGAGAGCAGCAUGCUACGAAAUAGCCUGAAUGAAGUUAAUGUGGGCAAAGAGCAAAACAGAGUGGAAAGUGAUUUCUUCUAGAUCUCCAAGUUAAGCAGACUUCUGAUCCUUCUUGAAGAGUGUUAUUUUUCCCAGCUCCUUACCACAUACAGUCAACCAAUCAUGAUUGAUUCUGCCACUAGAAUACUUGUAAUAUCAAGCCUCCUUCCCUGUCCUAGAAGAUACAUUUCAUGUACGUAAAAUCCCAGCACCACUUUACCCAAUCAGAAGGAAGACAAAUGACACAGCCAGCAUUCUGUCUCCUACCUGAGCUCAGAAGGCAGUAUGCACUCUCAGAGAGGACCUUCUUUGGAAUGAAAAGUGGGAUUUGGGUUUGAAACCAUGCCCCAUAGGGUUAAGGAGCUUAAAACUGUCACAGCAAGACCCCUGCCAAAUCCCCUUCUUCCUUACAGGAAUGUUAACCCUAUCUUGGCAAACAAUAGGAAGAGCUCCUGGGGAAUGAGACCAAGACCAGUUUGAGUUCUAGCACCAACUCACACAUGUGCAGAUGGACCACAGAGUGUCUACAGUUAUGGCUACCUCAUUAUAAUGUUAAAAUCUCUGCCAAGGAGGAACACAUGCUUGACCGACAUAAUGAUAGGGGAAAACUAUAUUAUAAGGUGGCUGAUGGGACUGAUAGGGGAAUUCCAGUCCCCACCCAAAGGCUCCCCUUCGGGUUUUGGGGUUUGUCUUCCUAUCCCACUUGCCACGGGACCCACAUUACUACUAAUGCGGAAUACAGAAGCAACAGACUAUAAAUUGCCUCCCAUGCUUGCACUCAGGG